rnacentral:lncRNA from 1 species
CGGGUUGUAUCCUAUGAAGAGAUUUCACUGUGGCCUCCUGAGGGCAGUCUAUCCUAAGGCAUUAUUGUAUUGGCAAUGGCUUGAUCAUAUGCUAAAGGCUCCUUUUUGCUGUAGAUGUCGGUUAGUAAAAAAUGCUACCUCUACCUUGCCAGAUAUCUUUGGAUCAGCAUGACUAUAAUCACAACUAUUCUGGUGGUGUUGAACUGGAGUUUGCCUCCAUCUGUAAGACUGCUGAAAUCAUUGCUGUACAGCUGUAGGAUAAAGGCACUGUGUGCUAAGGUACACCACCAGCUGGAACAACCUUCAUGCAUGUGGAAUUUUGCACCUCACUGUUGGUAUUCUUGACAGAGGUUUCUGUCAUCAUUCUGAUUGCUGCUGCAUUGAGUCUUUGAUUGCUGUGAAUAUGCUUGGACUGAUCAGCUUCCUAAAGAAUUUGACGUAUACCUGAACUGGAAGUCUUGCAAAAAGUCAAGACUCCUCUUUAUGGUCUUAAAAAAUGACAAAAGUACACUCUCAGGUCACACUAUCUGUCUGUGGACUACGUGGAAGAUUAAACUUCUGAAAGUUACUUUGAUGCUUCCAAGAAUUUUUGCUUUCUGGCUUGAGAAAUUCAUUUGCUUGUGCCAGGCUUCUAUCUCUGAUUUUGUAAGCCCAAACAGUCCCAGUAACUAAGUAACAGCACAGCUGAAUGUUUUCAUAAAAACAAUGUUGCUGCUUAGAGAUGUGAUUUACUACUUAAGUGUGUCUGUACAUAUAUACAGGGGCAAGAAGUGAUGAUGACCUCAUCUUCAACAAGCUCAAAAAGCAGUCUGU